rnacentral:rRNA from 1 species
UACAGAGGUGGCAAGCAUUGUUCGGAUUCAUUGGGCGUAAAGGGUCUGUAGGCGGCUUGGUAAGUUGGAUGUGAAAUCCCACAGCUUAACUGUGGAACUGCAUUCAAAACUGCCAGGCUAGAGUGUGGGAGGGGUGAGGGGAAUUCCCGGUGUAAGGGUGAAAUCUGCAGAGAUCGGGAGGAACACCAGUCGCGAAGGCGCCUCAUUGGUCCACUACUGACGCUCAGGGACGAAAGCUAGGGUAGCAAACGGG